GACGAACGCUGGCGGCGUGCUUAACACAUGCAAGUCGAGCGGUAAGGCCCUUUCGGGGGUACGACGAGCGGCGAACGGGUGAGUAACACGUGGGUGACCUGCCCUCAGCUCUGGGAUAAGCCUGGGAAACCGGGUCUAAUACUGGAUAUGACUCCAUGACGCAUGUUGUGGGGUGGAAAGCCUUGUGCGGCUGAGGAUGGGCCCGCGGCCUAUCAGCUUGUUGGUGGGGUGAGGCCUACCAAGGCGACGACGGGUAGCCGGCCUGAGAGGGCGACCGGCCACACUGGGACUGAGACACGGCCCAGACUCCUGGCGGGAGGCAGCAGUGGGGAAUCUUGCGCAAUGGGCGAAAGCCUGACGCAGCGACGCCGCGUGAGGGAUGACGGCCU
rnacentral:rRNA from 1 species